rnacentral:rRNA from 1 species
CCGACGGUGAGAGGUGAAAGCUGGGGGAGCAAACCGGAUUAGAUACCCGGGUAGUCCCAGCCGUAAACGAUGUGCGUUAGGUGUAUCGGUGACCACGAGUCACCGAGGUGCCGAAGAGAAAUCGUGAAACGUACCGCCUGGGAAGUACGGUCGCAAGGCUGAAACUUAAAGGAAUUGGCGGGGGAGCACCACAACAGGUGGAGCCCGCGGUUUAAUCGGACUCAACGCCGGGAAACUCACCAGAUAAGACAGCUGAAUGAUAGUCGGGCUGAAGACUCUACUUGACUAGCUGAGAGGAGGUGCAUGGCCGUCGUCAGUUCGUACUGUGAAGCAUCCUGUUAAGUCAGGCAACGAGCGAGACCCACGCCAACAGUUGCU